rnacentral:tRNA from 1 species
GCCCAGAUAGCUCAGUAGGUAGAGCAAGGGAUUGAAAAUCCCUGUGUCGGUGGUUCGAUUCCGCCUCUGGGCACCA